AUAAAGUUUUAUUCUUGCUUAAAAUCUUGUUUUAAGUAUGUUUUACAUGUAAAGUGUUAUGUGGUAGUUUUGAUUAUUCUUAAAGAAUUCAAUAAUACUUGUUAUUCGCAGUAUUUAAUUUUAGAUUUCAAUAAAAGUUGGAUCUAGUAAUAUUUUGUAGCACCGGCAAAAAUCGUGCCAGCUGCCGCGGUUACACGGAGGGUGCAAAUAAGAUUUAUUAGUAUAUAGUUAUAAGGUAUUAAAUUUUAAGAUAAAAUUAAUUUUUUUAGGUGAAAUUUUUGAAAUUAAAUUUUCUUUUGUUAAGGGUUUAGAAGCUAUGAAAUUUAAAUAUUAAACUAGGAUUAGAUACCCUAUUAUUUUAGAUGUGAAUAUUUUAAAUACUUGAGUAGUAGGAGUUAUGUUCUUUAAACUUAAAGAAUUUGGCGGUGUUUUAGUCUAUUCAGAGGAACCUGUCCCGUAAUCGAUAGCCCACGUAAGAUCUUACUUAAAUUUGUGUUCAGUUUGUAUACCGCCGUCGUCAGAAUGUCUUUUGAGGGAUUAAAUUUUCUAAAAUUUUUAUUAAAAAUGACGUCAGGUCAAGGUGCAGCUAAUGUUUAAGUGGAGAUGGGUUACAAUAAAUAUAUUUAAAUGGAUUUUAUUUUGAAAUAAGUGAAUUGAAAGUGGAUUUGAUUGUAAUGUUGUUGAUAAAGUUGAUUUGAUUUUAGCUCUAAAACAUGCACACAUCGCCCGUCGCUCUCGUUUUUUAAGGUGAGAUAAGUCGUAACAUAGUAGGUGUACCGGAAGGUGCCCCUGGUAAGUAAUU
rnacentral:ncRNA from 1 species